rnacentral:rRNA from 1 species
UACGUAUGGUGCAAGCGUUAUCCGGAUUUACUGGGUGUAAAGGGAGCGCAGGCGGCACGGCAAGCCUGAUGUGAAAGCCCGCGGCCCAACCGCGGGACUGCAUUGGGAACUACCGGGCUGGAGUGCCGGAGAGGUAGGCGGAAUUCCUAGUGUAGCGGUGAAAUGCGUAGAUAUUAGGAGGAACACCAGUGACGAAGGCGGCCUACUGGACGGUGACUGACGCUGAGGCUCGAAAGCGUGGGGAGCAAACAGG